rnacentral:rRNA from 1 species
CCUACGGGAGGCAGCAGUGGGGAAUCUUGUGCAAUGGACGAAAGUCUGACACAGCCACGCCGCGUGCGGGAAGAAGGCCUUCGGGUUGUGAACCGCUUUCAGCAGGAACGAAAAUGACGGUACCUGCAGAAGAAGAUGCGGCCAACUACGUGCCAGCAGCCGCGGUGAUACGUAGGCAUCAAGCGUUGUCCGGAUUUAUUGGGCGUAAAGAGCUCGUAGGCGGUUCAGCAAGUCGGGUGUGAAAACUCUGGGCUUAACCCAGAGCCUGCACUCGAAACUGCUGUGACUAGAGUUCGGUAGGGGAGCAGGGAAUUCCUAGUGUAGCGGUGAAAUGCGCAGAUAUUAGGAGGAACACCAAUGGCGAAGGCACUGCUCUGGGCCGAUACUGACGCUGAGGAGCGAGAGCGUGGGUAGCAAACAGGAUUAGAUACCCUGGUAGUCCACGCCGUAAACGAUGGGCACUAGGUGUGGGUCUCUAACCAACGAGAUCUGCGCCGUCGCUAACGCAUUAAGUGCCCCGCCUGGGGGAGGUAACGGUCGCGAGAACGUAAACGUUAAAGGUUAAAGUUAGACGGCGUUGAGACGNGCCGACGGACGACGACGAGGGAGGAGGAG